CGACUCUCGGCAACGGAUAUCUCGGCUCUCGCAUCGAUGAAGAACGUAGCGAAAUGCGAUACUUGGUGUGAAUUGCAGAAUCCCGUGAACCAUCGAGUCUUUGAACGCAAGUUGCGCCCGAAGCCGUCAGGCCGAGGGCACGUCUGCCUGGGCGUCACA
rnacentral:rRNA from 1 species